rnacentral:rRNA from 1 species
UACGAAGGGGGCUAGCGUUGCUCGGAAUUAUUGGGCGUAAAGGGUAGGUAGGUGGUCUCGUUUGUCUGGGGUGAAAGCCUUGAGCUUAACUCAAGAAGUGCCCCAGAAACGGCGAGACUAGAGUCCUGGAGAGGGUCGCGGAAUUCCCGGUGUAGAGGUGAAAUUCGUAGAUAUCGGGAGGAACACCGGUGGCGAAGGCGGCGGACCUGGGUCGAGACUGACGCUGAGGCGCGAAAGCGUGGGGAGCAAACAGG